rnacentral:rRNA from 1 species
UGAGUAAUAUAUAGUUAAUCUGCCCUACACAGAGGAACAACAGUUGGAAACGGCUGCUAAUACCUCAUACUCCUAUUUGACAUAAGUUAAAUAGGGAAAGUCUUUUCGGUGUAGGAUGAGACUAUAUCGUAUCAGCUAGUUGGUAAGGUAAUGGCUUACCAAGGCUAUGACGCGUAACUGGUCUGAGAGGAUGAUCAGUCACAUUGGAACUGAGACACGGUCCAAACUCCUACGGGAGGCAGCAGUAAGGAAUAUUGCGCAAUGGGGGAAACCCUGACGCAGCAACGCCGCGUGGAGGAUGACACUUUUCGGAGCGUAAACUCCUUUUAUCAGGAAAGAAUAAUGACGGUACCUGAUGAAUAAGCACCGGCUAACUCCGUGCCAGCAGCCGCGGUAAUACGGGGGGUGCAAGCGUUACUCGGAAUCACUGGGCGUAAAGGACGCGUAGGCGGAUUAUCAAGUCUUUUGUGAAAUCUAGUGGCUUAACCACUAAACUGCUUAGGAAACUGAUAGUCUAGAGUAGGGGAGAGGUAGAUGGAAUUCUUGGUGUAGGGGUAACUCCGUAGAGAUCAAGAAGAAUACCCAUUGCGA